rnacentral:lncRNA from 1 species
UUGGCCUUUUUUAUUGUUUCCAGAAUUGGACUACUUUAUUUUAUUUUCCCAGGUUCACCCACUUAAAUAAGUUUUGCUUUUAAUUUAAAGACAUAGGAGCAUCCCAGGAAAUGAUGGAAUCUAGUUUCCAUCAUGGGACCUAGAAAGGGGAGAAGCCAUGUUGCCCAACUCCAGAGAUUGGUAUAAGAAUUUGAAAGGCGUUGUCUGAUUUCAGAAGCCUUUUCCUGUAAACGCCGGGCGGCAUCUCAUACUAUCCCCGACUGGUUAGUGUGAAAACCACAUUCUUCCCCUAAGAAGGUGCAGAGUCCUCCUUUCUCAGCAGUGAGGAGGUCUAGGCCUUGGCGUUUUUGGAGAGUCACUGCUGCCAAAGAGUCUAUUUGGGAUUGUAAAGUAAGAAUAGAUUUCGUUAUUUCUUGCAAACUGUCUGAGAGGCAGAUAUGGGUUGAAGAUCCACAUAAGUAGAAUAUGCCUUGGCUAGGAAGACAGAAAUUUACCCUGGCUUUUAAAGGAAAAGGGUACACUGUUUUUUCUUUACUACUUCCAUCUCUUUCUUUCUCUCUUCAACUUCUUUGUCUCUUCCUCUCUUUUUAACUCUCUCUUUGACUUUCUGUGUCUGUCCCUCUUUCUGACUCCU